rnacentral:lncRNA from 1 species
UCCCAUCAACAUCAACCAAUCACUUCUUCACAGCAAAAUAAAAAUUCCAGAAUCACUCAUUAGUUCUUCAUAAACAGAAGAACACUAGCUACUAGCUAGUCUUUCAUGUAAUCAAAACAUAUGUCUUUCAUGUAAUCUCUCAUUAAUGCUGCACAAUGAGCAUAGUAACAGUUAACAGACGAUAACAAGCUCCGGGGACCUUCAGAGUUGUCGCCAGAGAAUGCGGUUGUUUGGUGGUGAAAGUAGUGGUCAAUUAUGUUUCCAACAAGAACAGCAUCAGUGGAAAUCACUUGAAACCCAGGUUCCAUUUCUUAUUUGCUCUUCCCACCCCCAUGUUCACGUGUGAUGUUUUUCAGGUUUCUGAUGCUUUAUUGGGGUGGAAUAUGAAACUGGACAUGAAAAUUCAGACAGCUAAGGAGCGGAUGGGACGAUGGGGUCAUCUCUCAGGUGACAACCCAAACUUAUGUCUGUAACUUAACCAAUACAGGACAAAACAGGAAGACAGAUUUUCUGGCAAGCUCCACAUUACAUGGAUGAUGCCAACUGUUUUUUAAGGCCUCCCCUUUGUGAUCCUACAAUGUAAUGUUGUCUUGUGAUCCACUUUUUGCCAAACCCUACAAGGAAGUCACCAUCUUGUUUUGGUUUAUCCAUUAAAGUUGUGGUCUUGUGCCAUCAGCAAAUAAGUACCUUAUGCACCACAGUUGGCGUGUCUUUGUUUGGUUGGGUUGCAAACCGGAUUUUGAGCAGGUAAUCCUGGUAAAGUUCUUUGUCUUCUGUUCUGAUCGUAUGAACACAGCAGUACUAUUAUGUCUGAUGCACCGUCACUGUGAUGCUGAUGCUUCAGAAUGGGAAGCUACUCUGGCCGCCGAAAUCGUUGAACAUUAGUCCCAAUCAGUGGAGAUAUCAGCAUGAUUCAUCCA